rnacentral:rRNA from 1 species
UACGAAGGGGGCUAGCGUUGCUCGGAAUCACUGGGCGUAAAGCGCACGUAGGCGGACUCUUAAGUCGGUGGUGGAAUCCUGGAGCUCAACUCCAGAACUGCCUUCGAUACUGAGAGUCUCGAGUCCGAGAGAGGUGAGUGGAACUGCGAGUGUAGAGGUGAAAUUCGUAGAUAUUCGCAAGAACACCAGUGGCGAAGGCGGCUCACUGGCUCGGUACUGACGCUGAGGUGCGAAAGCGUGGGGAGCAAACAGG